rnacentral:rRNA from 1 species
GUGGAGAGGGAAACAACCCAGACCGCCAGCUAAGGUCCCAAAGUCUAUAUUAAGUGGGAAACGAAGUGGGAAGGCUUAGACAGCUAGGAUGUUGGCUUAGAAGCAGCCACCAUUUAAAGAAAGCGUAAUAGCUCACUAGUCGAGUCGGCCUGCGCGGAAGAUGUAACGGGGCUAAAAUAUAGCACCGAAGCUGCGGCAUCAGGCGUAUCACUAAUACGCCUUACGAUUAACAACAUCGAAUGAAGUGAAACGGAAUGAGAUGUUGGUCAAGCAACCCGAACGUUGAGUCGGAAAGUAAUCGAAGAGAGGAUUAUUAGUGAUACGCCUGUUGGGUAGGGGAGCGUUGUGUAAGCGGAUGAAGGUGAAUCGAGAGGUUUGCUGGACGUAUCACAAGUGCGAAUGCUGACAUAAGUAACGAUAAAACGAGUGAAAAACUCGUUCGCCGGAAGACCAAGGGUUCCUGUCCAACGUUAAUCGGGGCAGGGUGAGUCGGCCCCUAAGGCGAGGCUGAAAAGCGUAGUCGAUGGGAAACGGGUUAAUAUUCCCGUACUUGGUAAAGCUGCGAUGUGGGGACGGAGAAGGUUAGGUUAGCAGACUGUUGGAUGUCUGUUUAAGUUGGUAGGUGGGGAGUUUAGGCAAAUCCGGACUUCCAUAACACUGAGAGAUGAUGACGAGUUUCUACGGAGAUGAAGUAACUGAUACCACGCUUCCAGGAAAAGCCACUAAGCGAAAGGCUUUACUAAACCGUACUGAAAACCGACACAGGUGGUCAGGUAGAGAAUACUCAGGCGCUUGAGAGAACUCGGGUGAAGGAACUAGGCAAAAUAGCACCGUAACUUCGGGAGAAGGUGCGCUGGCGUAGGUUGUAGGAGUAUACCUCCGAAGGCUGAACCAGUCGAAGAUACCAGCUGGCUGCAACUGUUUAUUAAAAACACAGCACUCUGCAAACACGAAAGUGGACGUAUAGGGUGUGAUGCCUGCCCGGUGCUGGAAGGUUAAUUGAUGGUGUAAUCGAAAGAGAAGCUCCUGAUCGAAGCCCCAGUAAACGGCGGCCGUAACUAUAACGGUCCUAAGGUAGCGAAAUUCCUUGUCGGGUAAGUUCCGACCUGCACGAAUGGCAUAAUGAUGGCCAGGCUGUCUCCACCCGAGACUCAGUGAAAUUGAAAUCGCCGUGAAGAUGCGGUGUACCCGCGGCUAGACGGAAAGACCCCGUGAACCUUUACUAUAGCUUGACACUGAACAUUGAAUUUUGAUGUGUAGGAUAGGUGGGAGCCUAAGAAGCAGUCACGCCAGUGAUUGUGGAGGCGUCCUUGAAAUACCACCCUUUAACGUUUGAUGUUCUAACGAAGAUUGCGAAACGCGGUCUCGGACAGUGUCUGGUGGGUAGUUUGACUGGGGCGGUCUCCUCCCAAAGAGUAACGGAGGAGCACGAAGGUUUGCUAAUCACGGUCGGACAUCGUGAGGUUAGUGCAAUGGUAUAAGCAAGCUUAACUGCGAGACAGACAAGUCGAGCAGGUGCGAAAGCAGGUCAUAGUGAUCCGGUGGUUCUGAAUGGAAGGGCCAUCGCUCAACGGAUAAAAGGUACUCCGGGGAUAACAGGCUGAUACCGCCCAAGAGUUCAUAUCGACGGCGGUGUUUGGCACCUCGAUGUCGGCUCAUCACAUCCUGGGGCUGAAGUAGGUCCCAAGGGUAUGGCUGUUCGCCAUUUAAAGUGGUACGCGAGCUGGGUUUAGAACGUCGUGAGACAGUUCGGUCCCUAUCUGCCGUGGGCGUUGGAGAAUUGAGAGGGGCUGCUCCUAGUACGAGAGGACCGGAGUGGACGCAUCACUGGUGUACCAGUUGUCUCGCCAGAGGCACUGCUGGGUAGCUAAAUGCGGAAGAGAUAAGUGCUGAAAGCAUCUAAGCACGAAACUCGCCUUAAGAUGAGUUCUCCCACACAAUAAGUGUGUAAGGGUUGUUGGAGACGACGACGUAGAUAGGUCUGGUGUGUAAGCGGUGUGAGCCGUUGAGCUAACAGAUACUAAUUGCCCGAGAGGCUUAACUAUACAACCUCAAGCGUU